GGUCGGAAGUUCAAGUCUUCCAGGCCCACCACUUUCAUCGAGUGAGCAUUCGUCUUCUGGUUACGGGGCCAUAGCUCAGCUGGGAGAGCGCGUGCUUUGCAAGCAUGAGGUCGUCGGUUCGAUCCCGUCUGGCUCCACCAGAUGGUUUGAUCACCGAGGUCAUGCACCGUCGUCCGCGAAACAUCACUUCGCAUCCUGCCAGUCUGGAUAGACGGCAGGUUGCGUGAUUUCUGACAUCGUAAAGAGGAGAUCGAUCCGAGUUGGGUCGUGCAGCAGGUUGUUGCGCGUAUCCUUCAUUAUCUCCGGAUCAUUUUCGGCGCUCGAGGCUGACCGCAAGGUUGGCUCUCGAGUUGUAAAAUGAUCCUUUUAGCGAAGCUUGACCGCCUCGCUAUCGGAACGAUCUUACGAAGCAAGCUGGUCUUUCUAGUCAAUGUCCGGCUGUACGUAGCGUUCAUCGAGGGCGCGCGCCGCAAGGCAAUCGUACAGACAACAUUCUGCCGAGUGUGUGGACAUUGAUAAUGAGAGC
rnacentral:tRNA from 1 species